AGAAAGUUCUUUUGCAAGGUAUUGUAAAAAGCUAGGCAGUGGCUUGUGGGGAGUUGUUGAUGUGUCCCCGGAAACGUUGCCCCAAUUUCCAUCAAGAAACUUUCGAAGACGACCAUCAGGCUGUUUGAUUGAAGAAAUGCCAAAUGGAUGCUCUAAGGUUAUAUGGGUGGAACAUGUGGUGGUGGAUAACAGACUGGUUCAUCAUUUUUUUCAGCCGCUGGUCACUUCUGGUUUUGCAUUCUGUGCAAAACGUUGGGUUAACACUUUAAUUCAGCAUUUUCAGUGGUCUGCAACUGUAAGGGCUCCAAACAGUCCUACCGAUCGUGGCGGUAAUUAAUUAAUUAAAUCGCAAUUAAUUUGUUUCAUGCAUCGACUUGGAUUUAGAUGCACUAAUUAAAUAGCUAAGCUUUUUCCCCUUAUUUUGAAUAGUGAUUAUAGCACAACCUCAAAGAACAUUCUUCUUGAAGUUUUCGGAGAGAAUGGUAAAAAGCUUUUUCAUGGACAUCAGUGCUUCAAGAGAGAACAAAUGGAUGCCAUUUCCAGUGUCGGGUGCUGAUAUAAUGAUAUCGACAAAGAGUAGCAUAGAUGACCAUGGGAAGAUUCCAGGUACCACAACAGUGUUCGCUACUUCCGUCCACCUUCCAGUCCCAAGUAAACAAGUAUUUAGUUUACUUCGUGAUGUCAACUUUCGGAGACAGUGGGAUAUCUAUGGA